rnacentral:misc_RNA from 1 species
AACGCACAUUGCGCUCUCUGGUAUUCCGGAGAGCAUGCUUGUUUGAGUAUCAGUAAAACACCCUCAGUUCUCUCGUUUUUCGAGGGAAUUGGACUUGAGUGAUCCCAACGGCAGUUUAAAAACCGCUGGCGGGUUGCUUGAAAUGCAGGUGCGGCUGGACACAUCUUCUGAGCUAUAAGCAUUACUUAUUUAAUCCCGUCAAACGGAUUAUUUCUAUUGCUGCAGCUAACAUAAAGGUUGAUUGUCCUUGUGCCCGACUGAUGCAGGAAAACAAAGAGAAAUCUUUGUUCAACUCGAUCUCAAAUCAAGUAAGACUACCCGCUGAACUUAA